GACGAACGCUGGCGGCGUGCUUAACACAUGCAAGUCGAACGGAAAGGCCCUGCUUUUGUGGGGUGCUCGAGUGGCGAACGGGUGAGUAACACGUGAGUAACCUGCCCUUGACUUUGGGAUAACUUCAGGAAACUGGGGCUAAUACCGGAUAGGAGCUCCUGCUGCAUGGUGGGGGUUGGAAAGUUUCGGCGGUUGGGGAUGGACUCGCGGCUUAUCAGCUUGUUGGUGGGGUAGUGGCUUACCAAGGCUUUGACGGGUAGCCGGCCUGAGAGGGUGACCGGCCACAUUGGGACUGAGAUACGGCCGAGACUCCUACGGGAGGCAGCAGUGGGGAAUAUUGCACAAGGCGCGGAAGCCUGAUGCAGCAACGCCGCGUGCGGGAUGACGGCCUUCGGGGUGUAAACCGCUUUCGCCUGUGACGAAGUGUGAGUGACGGUAAGGGGUAAAGAAGCACCGGCUAACUACG
rnacentral:rRNA from 1 species